CCCGGGAUCACGCCCUGGGCCGAAGGCAGAUGCUCAGCUGCUGAGCGCCCCCCACCCCGAGUGUCCCUCCCUUUUCUUUUUUAAUCGUCUGUCCCAUGAACCUUCAUAAGGAAUCUAUGUUCCUUAGUCCUCUUUGUUUUUCUGUUUGGGUUUAUUUGUUGUCAUUUUGUCUGUGUUGGUCUGUGAGUGCAACCACAAGCUUCCUGGAGGGAAGAGGUACUAAGACCCUUGAACCGUGAUGCAGUGCCUGAAACGGGUCCCAAAAGGCUGUAGGGCCGGAUGCUCAAACUUGAGUGGAAGGCCCCACCCAGGUCUCCAGGCAGCAGGCAGCGGGCAACUUCUCCAGGCCGCCUUCCCACAGCCUCUCCGUGACUCUGAAACGCUUGAAUGUAGCCACACUUGGAGAAACACUGCGUUCCAGGCACUUGGCCGUGUAACCAAUGUGGCCGUUGUGCUUUGCACAAACCUAACAUCCUUAAUAUGGGAAAGGCAGCUGUAGGAUACUAAUUUUAAACCUUGGACACUUUGAAUGGAAUCCCAUUGUAAUAAAUCAGACCAAAUAUCAACAUUACUGUUGACACUUAAUCAAAGUGAAACCCUAUUGUUGCACAGUAGAGACGAGAGCACGGAAUGUUCUGGUAUGCAGGUUAGAAAAAAAUUGAGCAGAGGGGAUUCUGGAAAAGCCCAUUCUUAGAGCACUAAGCAGUGAUUCCUGAGGAUGUUUUCAUACCAAACCUGUGGCAACCGGGUUUUCAGUGACAGAGAAAUGAGCGCUAUUAGGUAAAGGGGAAUACGCCACCCUUAAAUGGGCCAUUUUGGCAUAUUGAUUAAUUUUAAUUAAGGUUACUGAAGAAAUAGCCAGUGCAAGAAGGCAUCCUCUGUGUUCCUGAAAGCGGGAAAUAAAUCUCCCACGUGAAAGGCACCCUCCAUAUGCACCAGGAGGAAGAGAGACACGGUUAUCCCCAGAGAUAGGGGAUUUAGCAACAAGAAGACUGAGAUAUCGUUACUUCUUCACUGAUUAACCACCCCAAGCUCAGACCCCUUUGGUUUUGUCAGUUCUUCACGAAUGCAUCGUUCCUUCAUCUAAAAGGUAUAAAAGAUGCCUGCGCCGGGCACUUCGUUGAUUUUCAUAUUCGUAUGGGCUCCCGUAUAUACAAAAUUAGAUUUCUCUUCCUGUGACUCCAUGUCGAUUUAGCUAUUAGACCAGCCAAAGAACCUAGAAGAAGGGGAAAGCUUUCUGCUCCCACGUCGGAGACGCUCACUUUAACAAGGGUCCCAUGUACAUGAGUCUCAGGUACUUGCGUCAGGAUCAAGGAGUGAACUUUCCAGUACAGGAAAAGCAGCAAUCCAAAAGCAUGACUUUUUUGGGGGUGGGGGUGGGGGGUUGUUUAAAAAUUUAUGCAAACUUUUGAGGUGCCCCGGGUGGCACAGUUGGUCGAGCAUCUGACUCAGUUUCUGUUCAGGUCAUGGUCUCAGGGUCGUGGGACUGGGCCCCAUGUCAGGCUGCUUGUGCGCAGCACGGAAUCUGCUUGAGAUUCUCUCCCUCUCGCUCUGCCCCUCCCCCCUGCUCGUUCUCUCUCUCCCUCUCUCUCUCUCUGAUAAAUAAGUCUUUAAAAAAGAUAAUAAAAAAUUGAUGCAAACUUUGGAUUGUACCUCAGGAGACCCAAGUGUUCGAUUAUGACAUUUUUAGUCAUGAUGUCUUUGAUACUAAUGUCUUUAAAUUAAUACUCAUAUGUGUAUUUAUUGAUUUUUGAAGACCUUCUGCUCCAUGCCACAACUCUUGGGAAGUUGUUUUGUUUUGUUUUGUUUUGUUUUUACCUUCUUAGAAGUCAUUGUUGCAAUAAAUGUUGAAGUUUUGAACUGUCCCUGUGUUUUAUUGUGCUUGCCACUAUUUGGAUUUGUCUUGGUGUUUGGGUCGUGUGCGUAUUAUCUGGCCCUCCCCUGCCCUGCAGCCUCUGUCUUAUUCCUCACUGUACCCUCAGCACUUGGAAGAUGCUCAAACACAUAAGGAAGGAAAGGGAAAGCAAAGGACGGGAUAAAGGGGAGGGGGACUUAGCUACGGGGGCUCGAGAUCGACACUGUGAAUGGCAAAUAUUGCUUCUCACUGACCCCACGUCGGCCUAGGAGGCCUUCGAUACGGCAGCCAGCACCUGUCACUGGGAGGUGAACCUAGUGGAAAUCUGUUCUGCAUGAUCACUAAUGCUAAUAGUCUUAGAUGGGUCCCCGAAAGGCUUUAGGGUCUGAUGCUCAAACUGGGUGGAAGGCCUCACCCAGAUCUCCAGUCAGCAGGCAACCAGCAAGUUCCUUAGAAAGUAAAGUAGCUAAGACAUUUAAAAGGGAGGUUUCAGCAAAAGAUUUAGAAGACAAUAUAGUUAUUUAAGAAAUAAAAGUACCCAUUUUGUGGCAACAGAAUUCACUUAAAUGGCCUUGAAGUCAAUUGUUACAAAGAAAAUCAUUUUACCAGGUAAAUGUUAUAAUUAGGGAGAUACAUGCUGGCCAAAGGUUUGGUCUCAUACAAACUGCUGAAAAAAAAUUUGUGUUAAAAUGAUGAUACAACAAAAUAGUUCAUUGAAAAUACUAACCAAAUUCAGUAAAAUGGUCUUAAGUGUAUGUAUUGAUUAUGCAAGGGACCUUAGAAAGGACCUCACAUAUGCCAAAUUGAAUAUAAGAUUAAAAAAGCAAAUACGUUACCAGACCAUUAAACAUUUACUUCAUAAAGCUUAUCCAGUCUCCUGGGUGAUGUAAUGGGCCGAUCUGUGUCCCCAUACAAUAUUGUGACUUUGGUCAUCCGAAUUUCUCAUAGAUCUAUUUGGCUUUUGUCCACAGUUCCUGGCUUACAGCUUCCAAAACCCUUGUAAUUUCCGCAGUAUGGAGAGUGAUAAAAAAGUGUCUUUCGUUAAUGCAGCUUUGGGAAAGGGCCCAGAAUGAAGGCUGGUUGCCAAUGGAGCCACCUAAGUGAGUAGGGUGAUUAGAGGAUCGGGCCUUGCACACCUCCUCUGCAGAGGGGAGGGGCCUACGGGCUGAAGUAAUCACCAAAGGACAACAAUGUAAUCAUAAAAACCCUGAAGGGCAGAGAUCAGAGAAUUCUGGGUUGGCCAUCUGGGGAGGGUGGCAUGCCUGGGGAGGGCAUGGAAGCUCAGCUUGUUCCCUAUUCUUGCCCAGUUCAUCUUGAGCAUCUGGAUGUUGCUGACUUGUAUCCUUUUAUAACAGAUCAGUAAUCUAGUGCGUAAAUAGCUUUCCUGAGUCCUGUGGGCCAUUCUAGCACAUUAAUCAAACCUCAGGAAGGAGUGCGGGGAAGUUCGGAUUUAUAGCCAGUCAGUCAGAAAUACAGGUAACGACAACCUGGGCAUGCGACUGGCAUCACCAGCUUGGCCAAGUGGAGGGAGGAACCAGAUCCUAUAGCCAGCUCACCUAACAGACUGACCCAACAGGUGGCCUAAGUAUCAGGGCUUAAGGAACUGGAACCGAAACAACCAACGUUUGCUAUUGUGGGUCUGCCAUCCCUGAAGUGGAGCUUCAGCAUCAAAGCCAUCUUACUGAAGAGUCCAAGCUUUUCCCUUUCCUUGGCAUUUUAAAACAGAAUAAAAUUGGAAUAGAAUUAACACUUGAUGCAGAAAACAAAAUGUUAACAUGAAAAAUUUUCAAACAUACCAGAAGCAGAAAAUAGUACAGUGAACUUCCAUAUACCCUACACUCAGAAAAGCACUGAUUUUGCCUCGUUUCAGCUCACUCCUUUCCACCUCCUUUCCCUUGGCUAUAGUAUAUAUGCACGUAUAUUUUUUAAUUAGGCAACCAAUAUUUUACCAUGCCACAUACCCGUGACUGUGGCAUGCCGAUGAAUCCACAUUAAAAGUAAAGACAUUGAACUGAGAUAAUUUGUAUUUUGUUAGAAUCCCAAACCAGGACACUCACACUUUGUUCCUUGUAUUAUUCAAGAUUCCAAUCUAAAAAUGUAAUUUCACUUCCAGGGUAAUUGCUGAAGUUGGAAGACAAAUGUUUUUCUACAGGUCUUCAUUUAAAUACUAAAAAGGAAAAAGAGUUGCAAGGAUGUAGAUUACUAAAAACUAUUAUAGCAUCUCAGGAAAUACACAUUCUCAUUUUAAAAAGUGUAUACAUGUGGAUCUUUAAAACAGAUCAAAAAACCUACCCAAAAAUGUUGACAGGAUCUCUUGGUAGAAUACGUUUCAUUUUCUCCUAUGUAAUUUACUCUAUUUGCUAAAUGCUCCACUAUGGAUGUUGUUACUUUUGCAACCUGAAAAAAAAUUUAAAAGUACACUAAAAUAAAUUGUAACUGUAUAAGCAUAUUAUUUAAACAUGGAGGUUAACCAUUAGAAGUUAAAAGUGGUUAAGUGAUUCCCUCUGGGAACUGCAGUGAAACGGAAGGUGAAGGCAAGAGGCAUGCUUCCCAUUCUAAAACCUUUCAAUGUCACUCUUAAGAUCAGACAUUAUGUAAGCUUUUUAAAAUUAUUAAAAAAAAAAAAAAACAACAACAAAAAACAAGUGGGAAGACUAAUGGAAAAAAACAAAAAAAACCCACAAGAACCAACUUCAUUAUAUUUCUUCUAAGGUCAGUAUGGGCCUUUGUGAGACCUACCAGUUGUGACUACUAGUUCAGCUGUAUGCAGUACAUCAUGUUCAUUCACACUCCCGAAUUCUACUUUAGUGCAUAUAAAAUGCAACUGGAUUUACAGAAAUAAUUUACUUUCACUGACGACAUAUUUCAAUUAAAAGAAAAAAGCAUACAGAGUACAAACAAGAGAGUUUAUUUACAAAACUUACAAUAAUUACAGAUAGUACAAAUUGAGACAAUUUCCCCCGUUACUGUGACCGAAGCUACCAGCCUUCACUUUAAAAUGAGGGUUUUGUUAUUCUGAGAUAUGAUAGACAUUCAGUGAUCCACUGCCCUUAUUUAAAAUGCUUUUCUAACUAAUUCCAGGGGCUGAUUAGUGUAUGUACAGCGGUCACUUCCCUCAACGUGUAUUUCCAGACCUACUAUGUACAAGUCCAACAUAACUGGAAUAUAAUGGCAUAGAACAGCACUGAGUAAUUUUUUUCCCAACAAUAAAUUUUGAUUAUUCUUUAAAUAUUCAUUUAGUGGUUUAGAACUGAAACCAUGAUUUUUGGCUUUUAAAAGAAAAGUCCAGUGAUUCUUGAUGGGACGCACCAUUCCGCUAUAGCCAGUAUUACCCAGCUAUUUUUUACAGGUUUACAAUAGUUUUAGAAAACAGAAUUCCACAGCAUUCAAUUCUGUUUUGUUUGGUUUUUAGAGAGGGAGAGAGGCAGGGGGAAUCUUCAGAGAAUCUUCAGCAGACUCCAUGCCCAGCACAGAGCCAGAUACGGGGCUCAACCUCACAACCCUGAGAUCACGACCUGAGCCAAAAUCAAGAGUCUGACACUCAGCCGAGCCACCCAAGUGCUCCCCAUGGUAUUCAAUUCUGUAUGAAUUGUGUCUUUUAUGUUUUUAAUCAGAGUCACUGCUACUGCUCGAGGAGUCUGUUGACAUAACUUCUACAUCAUCUUCAUUUUCUUUAUUAUGCCCCGGAGGUUCCAACAAGAAGUCAUUACUGUGAUUUGGUGGUAACAUAUUCAUUGACAUGUCAUUUGACUGCCAUGGGUACUGCGGAGCAAGGACAUCUGGAGAAAAGAAAGAAGUAUAUGUAACAACACUUCUACCAGUAAUUAAUUUACUACUUAACUACACUUCCCUUCAUGCACAGAAUCUGAAGCCAGUAUUUUUUUAAGGCCAGGAAUCAAAACAUACAUUUGGCAAAAUUAAUGAAGAUCAAAGUUAUCAAGAAAAAGCAUGGUGUUUAAUAACCAGAACCUGUGUUUUAUUUUUUUAAAAAUCAUGCUUCCAUCUAGGUAACUUUAUAUAAUCAGCUGACCUAAUUUUUCUUUUGUAAGACGUUCACGAUGACCCAUCAAAUGUGUCUUAUACGUGUCAAUGUAAACUAUACACAGAUAUGUAUUAGGUCGUAUAUAGUAUUCUCUCUACACAUUUUAAAUAGCUAACAUGUGCUAUACUAAGUAUUACAAGUUUAAACUGCCUAAGCUUUGAAUGCACUGAAAACGUUUCUCCUUUGCCAGCAGCCACCAUGUUAAUCUUCGUCAGCAGAGGGCACUGGAGGGACUGUGCAAGGGGACCAGGCCUAGGGAUCUGUAUGUAGUUUUCCUUCUCAGGCCUGUGGUGCCGGCUGCGCAGGGACAUCAAGCACCUCAAGCGGUGUUCACUCCCUUGCAAGUUUCAGGGGCAUUGAAGUCUCACCCUCACCCUCAAGGCGGCUUCCCAGCCGGGCUCCCAGGAACCUGAAGGCUGGUGGAUGGAUCCCUGCCUGCCGGCUGCAGCCUGGGAACACCCCCUCCAGCCUCUCUGCCAUCCAGUGGGCCACAGAUGCUUCCCGCAUCUGUUAGUGCUCUAUUUUUUAAAAACAGCUCUCUUUACCCUUUAGUAGUCAGUACCAAAUUUUCUUUAAAUUUUCCUUGUUCAUAUUACUAUGUGGUUUCUGCCUCCUGACUGGCCUGUGACUGGCAGGAUAUGGAAUAACCCAAAUGAGAAAAAGGCAAAGAUAUCAAAGGAAACUAAUGCACAGUGAGCUCUCAGUUUGUCCUUUAAGCAGUUUUAAAAAACUUUUUAAAUGUUCUACCAAAUCAAAACAAGUCACCUACAGAAGAUAAAAGGUGGGAAACAAAAUAAAUGUAAUAACGCAAAACUACAUGUAAAACUUGAGGAAGGCUGAAAUUCAAAACAGCCCAAGUCUCACAGAAGUGCUAUUUAGUUAUUCAAAAGUAAAAAGUUGUUACUCGUUUUGUUAACUUGGGAGUUUUUCAAGAGUGAUUUCACUUUGUAUUCUUUAAAAUGAACAUUUAUAUUUCUUAUUCUGUUGGUACAGUAUAUUUCACAAUUUUAUUUAAAAAGCUGUUUAGAUUUUAAUAAUUAAAGGCCUAAUGCCAAGGCAAAUAAACUAUCAAUAAAUGA